GCCCGGCUAGCUCAGUGGGUAGAGCAUGACGCUCUUAAUCUCAGGCUUGUGGGUUUGAGUCCCACAGUGGGCG